rnacentral:rRNA from 1 species
GCUACGAAGGGGCCAGCAGAGGGCGUAGUAGGUUGGCGGUGGGGGUGGUGCGGGGUUACGGGGCGUAGAGGGUGUGUAUGUGGUUCUCUAAGUUGGGUGGGACAUCUCCCGGCUCAACCGGGAGGGUGCGCCGAAAACUGGAGGGCUAGAGUGCGGGAAGGGAGAGUGGAAUUCCUGGUGUAGCGGUGAAAUGCGUAGAUAUCAGGAGGAACACCGGUGGUGUAGACGGCUCUCUGGACCGCGACUGACGCUGAGACACGAAAGCGUGGGUAGCAAACAGGAUUAGAUACCCCGGUAGUC